rnacentral:lncRNA from 1 species
GGGUUAAGGAGAGCUGAUUUUGGGUGAGGGAGGGGCCAGAACAAGAGCUUCUCUCAGGGGAUAGGGCCAGAAAAAAUAAUGUAGAUGAGAGAGGAGUUUGGGGGCCCAGGAGGAGCUGUAUUCCCAGAAUCCAGACUUGCUGACCUGCUCGCUUCCCCAGCAGCUGGCCCCUGAGCGGUCAGUCUCAGGCCCACUGGGACCUCUGGGCUGCACGUCCCCGCCCCCAGCCCCUCUCCUACACACCAUGCUGGACCUGGAGGAAUUUGUCCCGCCUGUGCCCCCACCGCCCUACUAUCCCCCAGAGUAUACCUGCAGCUCAGAAACAGAUGCACAGAGGUAAGGCCUGGUGGGGUCUUGCUGGGGGAGCUAAGGAAGGGGACUGGGGCUGGGCCUGGAUUGCUGGAGAGAGGGAUCUUUGUGGAGGGGGAAUUAUUUCUCCUACAUUGACCCUCUUCCUCAUCUGCCAGCAUCACGUACAAUGGCUCCAUGGACAGCCCAGUGCCCUUGUACCCUACCGAUUGCCCCCCUUCUUAUGAGGCAGUCAUGGGACUACGAGGAGACAGCCAGGCCACUCUCUUUGACCCUCAGCUUCACGAUGGCUCGUGCAUCUGUGAACGAGUGGCCUCCAUUGUAGACGUGUCCAUGGACAGCGGGUCUCUGGUGCUGUCAGCCAUUGGUGACCUCCCUGGGGGCUCUAGCCCGUCGGAGGACUCGUGCCUGCUGGAGCUGCAGGGCUCCGUGCGCUCCGUGGACUACGUUCUCUUUCGCUCCAUCCAGCGCAGCCGUGCCGGCUACUGCCUCAGCCUGGACUGUGGCCUGCGGGGCCCCUUCGAGGAAAGCCCCCUGCCACGGCGCCCCCCACGGGCUGCCC